GGGGAACCCGCCAUUCCCUUCCCUUCCUCUCUUCCCUUUCCUUUCUUUCCCUUCCUUCUUUCCUUUCCCUUCCUUCCCUUUCCCUCCCUCCCUCUCCUUUUCUUUCCACCCUUUCCUUUCCCUUCCCCUCCUUUCCUUUCCUCCCCUUUCCAUUCCAUUUUCCUUUCCUUUCCUUCUUUCCCUUCCUUCUUUUCACUUUCAUUUCUUUCCCUUCCCUUCCUUCUUUCCUUUCCCUUCCUUCCCUUUCCCUCCCUCCCCUUCCUUCCCUUUCCUUUCCAUUCCUUUUCUUUCCUCCCUUUCCCUUCCUUCCCCUCCUUCCCUCCUUUCCUUUCCUUUCCUUUCCUUUCCUUUCCUUUCCUUUCCUUUCNNNNNNNNNNUCCUUUCCUUUCCUUUCCUUUCCUUUCCUUUCCUUUCCUUUCCUUUCUCCUUCCUUCCCUCCCUUCUCUCCCUUCCUUCUCUUUCCCUCCCUCCCCUCCUCUCCCUUCCCUCUCCUCUCCUUUCCUUUCCAUUUUCCUCCCUUCCCUUCCCUUCCCUUCCCUUCCCUUCCCUUCCCUUCCCUUCNNNNNNNNNNCCUUCCCUUCCCUUCCCUUCCCUUCCCUUCCCUUCCCUUCCCUUCCCCGAGGGCUGCUGGCAGGAUACGAUCGGCUGCACCAUCACCUUCUGCACCUUCUGGCCCUGCCCGCGGUACGCCAUGGCUGCGUGAGGGGCUGGGGAGCGCGGGGCAAGAGCGGCGCCGUGAGGGGCUCAGGAACGCGGGGGGAUGGCGGGAGAGCGGCGCCGGGAGGGGAUGGAGAACGCGGGGGAAUGGCGGGAGAGCGGCGCCGUGAGGGAACCGGAACGGGAAAAUGGCGGCCGCGCAGGGCAUUGUGGGAUCGUGGCGGUGUGAGGGGAGGGCGCCGCGCAGGGCAUUGUGGGAUCGUGGCGGUCUGAGGCCCUCAGAGUUUUAUUUUUAUUUUUCUUUAUUUUUCCCCCCCUCCCCAUCAUUAUUUUUAGGAUAUUUUUAUGAUUUUUUUUUCCUCUUAGUAGGUUUUUUUCUGGUCUUUUUUAUUUUCCUCUUAGUAGAGAUUUUGCUCUUAGUAGUCUUUUUUUUUUUAUUUUCUCUUAGUAGUUUUUUUUUAUUUAUUUUUGUUUUUAUUUUCUCUUAGUAGUUUUUUUUUUCUCUCAGUAGGGUUUUUUUUUUUUUUUUUUUUUUUUUUUCUUUUCUCUUAGUAGGGUUUUUUUCCCUUCCUAUCGUGAAAACUCCACAUUUUAUGAUUGGCUUUUCGCAAAUAUUACAAUGAACAUUAUACAUGCAAUGUUAGAAAAUUGUGCUGUAUUCAUUCUCUUAAGUAAC
rnacentral:lncRNA from 1 species